rnacentral:rRNA from 1 species
CCUACGGGAGGCAGCAGUGGGGAAUUUUUCGCAAUGGGGGAAACCCUGACGAAGCAACGCCGCGUGGAGGAUGAAGGCCUUCGGGUCGUAAACUCCUGUCGACUGGGAAGAAUGCACCUGACCUAACACGUCAGAGUGUUGACUGUACCGGUGGAGGAAGCCACGGCUAACUCUGUGCCAGCAGCCGCGGUAAUACAGAGGUGGCAAGCGUUGUUCGGAAUUACUGGGCGUAAAGGGCGCGUAGGCGGCCCGCCAAGUCCCGUGUGAAAGCCCCCGGCUCAACCGGGGAACGGCGCGGGAAACUAGCAGGCUUGAGUUCGGGAGAGGGAAGCGGAAUUCCGGGUGUAGCGGUGAAAUGCGCAGAUAUCCGGAGGAACACCGGUGGCGAAGGCGGCUUCCUGGACCGACACUGACGCUGAGGCGCGAAAGCUAGGGGAGCAAACGGGAUUAGAUACCCCGGUAGUCCUAGCCCUAAACGAUGAGCACUGGGUGUAGAGGGUAUGAACCCCUUCUGUGCCGAAGCUAACGCAUUAAGUGCUCCGCCUGGGGAGUACGGUCGCAAGGCUGAAACUUAAAGGAAUUGACGG